CAUUACUCAUGUGCCUUACAACUCAGCAGAACCUUAAACCGUGUUCAACAGUGUGCAAGUCACUUUACUAAGUGUCAGCAAGAUUUACUUUCCUACACUAACGGCUGGGGAAGGGCAUCUGGGGUUUUCUUAAAACAAACUAUCUCUCAGGUCCACCAACAACCGAUCAGGUGCAGAAAUACGAGACCAUGAAGCCAAAGAUGAAGCCCAGUUGUACACACGCAUGUGAGAAGAUGAAAAUAGCUGCAGAACAGCAUGUGGACGUUUCAGAUGUGACUCGUCUGACUUUCUGUGAAGAAUAAUACAGUGUUUAUAAUGUUUUAAAUAUGGGUAGAAAGAUGAUUGGAAAACAAUGACCUCAGGCUGUCUUAUUACAGAUGGCCACAGGGUCUCUAAAUUUCAUAAGUGAUCAAUACUCAUGGCGAUGAUUAAGAGAAGUCAUUUUCUGAGUUGUAACCUUGUUAAAGAACUUCUCUGUGCUGCACAGAACAACUCUUUGGUCAGUUUUUCCUGGGGAGCCAUUUCUAGUAUAAUUAAAGAGUUUGCCUCUCCUCCCACAGCCAAGACCUUCUCCCUCUUGCCUCAAGCUGUGGGUUUUUCAUUUAACACUCCAAUGCCUCACCAACAAUAAAAAAAAAAAAAAUCAAAUCAAAUCAUCCAGACCACUGAAUGGACGAUGAUUUCUUUUUUUCUUUUUUUUCUUUUUUUUCCUGGGAUUUGACCUUCAAG
ensembl:lncRNA